rnacentral:rRNA from 1 species
AUACGGAGGACGCGAGCGUUAUCCGGAUUCAUUGGGUUUAAAGGGUGCGCAGGCGGCCGUGCAAGUCAGCGGUGAAAGCCCGGGGCUCAACCCCGGAAGUGCCGUUGAUACUGCGUGGCUGGAAUGCGGUCGAGGCGGGCGGAACGUGGCGGGUAGCGGUGGAAUGCGUAGAUAUGCCACAGAACGCCGAUAGCGGAGGCAGCUCGCCAGGCCUGCAUUGACGCUCGGGCACGAAAGCGUGGGGAUCGAACAGGAUUAGAUACCCUGGUAGUCCACGCCGUAAACGAUGGGCGCUCGUCGUCGGCGACAGACAGUCGGCGGCCAAGCGAAAGCGAUAAGCGCCCCACCUGGGGAGUACGGUCGCAAGGCUGAAACUCAAAGGAAUUGGCGGGG